rnacentral:tRNA from 1 species
GGGCCCAUAGUCUAGUGGUAAAACACCUCGCUUGCACCGAGGAGUCCCGCGUUCAAUUCGCGGUGGGUCCA